rnacentral:rRNA from 1 species
GAUGAACGCUGGCGGCGUGCCUAAUACAUGCAAGUCGAGCGAACAGACGAGGAGCUUGCUCCUCUGACGUUAGCGGCGGACGGGUGAGUAACACGUGGAUAACCUACCUAUAAGACUGGGAUAACUUCGGGAAACCGGAGCUAAUACCGGAUAAUAUAUUGAACCGCAUGGUUCAAUAGUGAAAGACGGUUUUGCUGUCACUUAUAGAUGGAUCCGCGCCGCAUUAGCUAGUUGGUAAGGUAGCGGCUUACCAAGGCAACGAUGCGUAGCCGACCUGAGAGGGUGAUCGGCCACACCGGAACUGAGACACGGUCCAGACUCCUACGGGAGGCAGCAGUAGGGAAUCUUCCGCAAUGGGCGAAAGCUUGACGGAGCAACGCCGCGUGAGUGAUGAAGGUCUUCGGAUCGUAAAACUCUGUUAUUAGGGAAGAACAAAUGUGUAAGUAACUAUGCACGUCUUGACGGUACCUAAUCAGAAAGCCACGGCUAACUACGUG